CAGAGGGGGCAAGCGUUGUUCGGAAUUACUGGGCGUAAAGGGCGCGUAGGCGGCCUGCUAAGUCGAACGUGAAAUCCCUGGGCUCAACCCAGGAACUGCGUCCGAAACUGGUUGGCUUGAAUCCGGGAGAGGGAUGUGGAAUUCCAGGUGUAGCGGUGAAAUGCGUAGAUAUCUGGAGGAACACCGGUGGCGAAGGCGACAUCCUGGACCGGUAUUGACGCUGAGGCGCGAAAGCCAGGGGAGCAAACGGGAUUAGAUACCCCGGUAGUCCUGGCCCUAAACGAUGAAUGCUUGGUGUGGUGGGUAUCGAUCCCUACCGUGCCGAAGCUAACGCAUUAAGCAUUCCGCCUGGGGAGUACGGUCGCAAGGCUG
rnacentral:rRNA from 1 species